GACGAACGCUGGCGGCGUGCCUAACACAUGCAAGUCGAACGGUAAGGCCCUAGCUUGCUGGGGUUCACGAGUGGCGAAGGGGGGAGUAUCACGUGGGUGACCUGCCCCGCUCUUCGGGAUAAGCCUGGGAAACUGGGCCUAAUAUCGGAUACGAUCGCACCGACGGGGUGGGGCGGAAGGUUUUUCGGUUUUGGAUGGGCCAGCGGGCUAUUAGCUUGUUGGCGGGGUAAUGGGGUACCGAGGCGGCGACGGGUAGCCCGCCUGGGAGCGUGGACGGACACCUGGGGACUAAGGGACGGCCCAGACGCCUACGGGAGGCAGCGGUGGGGAAUCUUGCACAGUGAGCGGAAGCCUGAUGCAGCGACCCCGCGUGGGGGAAGACGGCCUUCGGGUUAUAAACACCUUUCACCAUCGACGAAGGUUUUCUGACGGUAGAUAAAGAAGAAGCACCGGCUAACUACGUG
rnacentral:rRNA from 1 species